rnacentral:rRNA from 1 species
ACCCGCUGAACUUAAGCAUAUCAGUAAGCGGAGGAAAAGAAACUAACUAGGAUUCCCCGAGUAACGGCGAGCGAAAGGGGAGAAGCCCAGCGCCGAAGCCCGCGGCCUCUCGGUCGCAGUGCAAUGUGGCGUUUCGGUGGCGGCUCGCCGCAGCUUCCCUGGCACGCGUACCUCUGAACGGGUCUGCCCACAGCGGGUGUCAGGCCUCUACUGCCGAACGGGUGAGCUGCGUCCCGCCGUCAUCGCGGAGUCGGGUUGCUUGAGAGUGCAGCCCAAAGUGGGUGGUAUGCUCCAUCUAAGGCUAAAUACCUAGUGCGAGACCGAUAGCAAACAAGUACCGUGAGGGAAAGUUGAAAAGAACUUUGAAAAGAGAGUUCAACAGUACGUGAAACCGUUCAGAGGCAAACGGACGGAACUGGGCGAGUUCGCCGUCGACAUUCAGCCGCGCGCGCUCGCGCGCACGGUGCACUUGUCGGCGGCGGAGCGCGACGACCGUCUGUCGGGCCGUCGGAAGCGCGGCGGCAAGGUGGCGACGCGCUCGCGCGUCGUGUUACAGGCCGUCGGCGUGUUGGCCGGCUCGGCGGGCGAGGAGCGCCUGCGGUGCACUCCGCGCCCCUCGCGGGCGGGGAGUGGCCCGACGCGGUGGGCUUCCGGACCGCGGUGGCGAACUGCUUGCAGUUCGUUGCCGCGCGCUCUGGCUGUCGUGCCGCGCGGUGCCACGGCGCGCGCAGGGUCCGGGUCGCGUGGUUCCCGGCACUCCGUCCGACCCGUCUUGAAACACGGACCAAGGAGUUGAGCACGCGCGCGAGUCGAUGGGCUCGUAGAACCCCAGUGGCGCAGCUAAGGCAAAACGGGCGUGAUCCGGCACCCGCGUGGUGCUGGCGCAACGCCGGCCCGCGGCACAUUUGCUCUCGUUCGAGAGGCCGCGGAGCAAGAGCGCGCGCGCUCAGACCCGAAAGGUGGUGAACUAUGCUUGAGCAGGGCGAAGCCAGAGGAAACUCUGGUGGAGGCUCGCAGCGAUCCUGACGUGCAAAUCGGUCGUCAAACUUGAGCAUAGGGGCGAAAGACUAAUCGAACCGCCUAGUAGCUGGUUCCCUCCGAAGUUUCCCUCAGGAUAGCUGGCACUCGGAAACAACGGUUUUAUCCGGUAAAGCGAAUGAUUAGAGGCAUUGGGGACGAAACGUCCUCAACCUAUUCUCAAACUUUAAAUGGGUAAGAGGCGCGGCCCACCCUGACCGGGGUCGCGUGCUCGAACGGAGAGUGCCCAGUGGGCCGUUUUUGGUAAGCAGAACUGGCGCUGUGGGAUGAACCAAACGCGCGGUUAGGGUGCCUAACGCACGCUCAUGAGACACCACAAAAGGUGUUGGUUGAUACAGACAGCAGGACGGUGGCCAUGGAAGUCGGAAUCCGCUAAGGAGUGUGUAACAACUCACCUGCCGAAUCAACUAGCCCUGAAAAUGGAUGGCGCUGGAGCGUGCGACCCAUACCGCGCCGUCGGGGCAACGCGUGCGAAAUGCCAGGCCCCGACGAGUAGGAGGGCGUGUCGGUGGCGCGGAAGCGUAGCGCGUGAGCGCGCGUGGAGCCGCCUUCAGUGCAGAUCUUGGUGGUAGUAGCAAGUAUACAAAUGAGAACUUUGUAGACCGAAGUGGAGAAGGGUUCCAUGUGAACAGCAGUUGGACAUGGGUCAGUCGGCCCUAAGAGAUCGGAGAACUCCGUUCUGAACGGGGGAGAGAGGCGCAACGCGCGCGAGCCUUCCGCUUCGCUCGUCGUCAGAGCCGGCGCUCCAACACGCACGCGCGCUAGCGCGUGCGCGCGGGCGCGACACUGUGCGACGCACGAAUGCCUGGCGGGAGACCAAAGCGCGCGCGCGGAGCGCGCCGCUCAAAGCCCCGAUGCGAUCGAAAGGGAAUCGGGUUAAUAUUCCCGAACCCGGCAGCGGAGAUUGGGCGCACGCGCCCCAGUGCGGCAACGCAACCGAACUCGGAGACGCCAGCGUCGAUCCCGGGAAGAGUUCUCUUUUCUUUGUUAGGAGCGGACUCCCUGGAAUUGGCUUGUCCAGAGAUAGGGACGUUGCAUCCGUAAAGUGUCGCGCCUCACGCGGCAUCCGGUGCAUCGGCGUUGGCCCUUGAAAAUCCGAGGAAGGCAGUGUAAUUUUCGCUCCGGGCCGUACCCGAAUCCGCAGCAGGUCUCCAAGGUGAACAGCCUCUGGUCGAUAGAACAAUGUAGGUAAGGGAAGUCGGCAAAUCCGAUCCGUAACUUCGGGACAAGGAUUGGCUCUGAAGCGCGGGCUGCUUCGGGUCGCGGCAAGAAGCGGACCGCGCGUUGGCUGGACUGGACGCGUCUCGGCGCGUUCGGACCGCUGCCAGCGUGCGUCCGUGGGCGACCGUGGCUUUCGCCGUGCGUCGGCCUCGUGUCGGCGUCGGCUUCGUUCGGCCUAAACGCGCAGAUCAGAACUGGCACGGACUCUGGGAACACGACUGUCUAAUUAAAACAAAGCAUC